UACGGAGGGAGCUAGCGUUGCUCGGAAUUAUUGGGCGUAAAGCGCACGUAGGCGGCAUUGCAAGUCGGAUGUGAAAUCCCUCGGCUUAACCAAGGAAGUGCAUCCGAAACUGCUGUGCUUGAGUACUUAAGAGGAUCGCGGAAUUCCCGGUGUAGAGGUGAAAUUCGUAGAUAUCGGGAGGAACACCAGUGGCGAAGGCGGCGAUCUGGGAAGAUACUGACGCUGAGGUGCGAAAGCGUGGGGAGCAAACAGG
rnacentral:rRNA from 1 species